GGAGGUUCCGGGCGNUAUCCGGAAUUACUGGGNNUNAAGGGAGCGNNGGCCGGAGANUAAGCGNGUUNGUGAAANGUAGACGCNCAACGUCUGCACUGCAGCGCGAACUGGUUUUCUCGAGUACGCACAAAGUGGGCGGAAUUCGUGGUGUAGCGGUGAAANGCUUAGAUANCACGAAGAACCCCGAUNGCGAAGGCAGCUCACUGGAGCGCAACUGACGCUGAAGCUCGAAAGUGCGGGUAUCGAACAGGAUUAGAUACCCUGGUAGUCCGCACGGUAAACGAUGGAUGCCCGCUGUUGGUCUGAACAGGUCAGCGGCCAAGCGAAAGCAUUAAGCAUCCCACCUGGGGAGU
rnacentral:rRNA from 1 species